CGCCGUAAACGAUGAGUGCUAAGUGUUGGAGGGUUUCCGCCCUUCAGUGCUGCAGCUAACGCAUUAAGCACUCCGCCUGGGGAGUACGACCGCAAGGUUGAAACUCAAAGGAAUUGACGGGGGCCCGCACAAGCGGUGGAGCAUGUGGUUUAAUUCGAAGCAACGCGAAGAACCUUACCAGGUCUUGACAUCCUUUGACCACUCUAGAGAUAGAGCUUCCCCUUCGGGGGCAAAGUGACAGGUGGUGCAUGGUUGUCGUCAGCUCGUGUCGUGAGAUGU
rnacentral:rRNA from 1 species